rnacentral:rRNA from 1 species
CCCUUAGAUGUUCUGGGCCGCACGCGCGCUACACUGAUGCAUUCAACGAGCCUAUCCUUGACCGACAGGUCCGGGUAAUCUUUGAAUCUGCAUCGUGACGGGGAUAGAUUAUUGCAAUUAUUAAUCUUCAACGAGGAAUGCCUAGUAGGCGCAAGUCAUCAGCUUGCGUCGAUUACGUCCCUGCCCUUUGUACACACCGCCCGUCGCUCCUACCGAUUGGGUGUGCUGGUGAGAUGUUCGGAUCGGCCGUUUGUCGCGGUUUCCGCGGCUCGUGGCUGAGAAGUUCAUUAAACCCUCCCACCGAGAGGAAGGAGAAGUCGUAACA